rnacentral:rRNA from 1 species
AUUGAACGCUGGCGGCAGGCCUAACACAUGCAAGUCGAGCGGAUGAAGGGAGCUUGCUCCUGGAUUCAGCGGCGGACGGGUGAGUAAUGCCUAGGAAUCUGCCUGGUAGUGGGGGAUAACGUCCGGAAACGGGCGCUAAUACCGCAUACGUCCUGAGGGAGAAAGUGGGGGAUCUUCGGACCUCACGCUAUCAGAUGAGCCUAGGUCGGAUUAGCUAGUUGGUGGGGUAAAGGCCUACUAAGGCGACGAUCCGUAACUGGCCUGAGAGGAUGAUCAGUCACACUGGAACUGAGACACGGUCCAGACUCCUACGGGAGGCAGCAGUGGGGAAUAUUGGACAAUGGGCGAAAGCCUGAUCCAGCCAUGCCGCGUGUGUGAAGAAGGUCUUCGGAUUGUAAAGCACUUUAAGUUGGGAGGAAGGGCAGUAAGUUAAUACCUUGCUGUUUUGACGUUACCAACAGAAUAAGCACCGGCUAACUUCGUG